UUCAAAGAGAAUUAUUUUCUCUCUCUGGA
rnacentral:piRNA from 1 species